CCCGCUGAACUUAAGCAUAUCAGUAAGCAGAGGAAAAGAAACUAACAAGGAUUCCCGUAGUAACGGCGAGUGAACUGGGAUCAGUCCAGCGCUGAAUCUCCGAGCCUUGCGCUCGGCGAACUGUAGCGUAUAGCCGGUUGGCUCCCCGCGGCGCUCCCGCCUCAAAUCUCCCUUGACUGGGGUUCCACAGAAGGUGCAAGGCCUGUCGUGGUGGCGGCGUCCGGGGAUCCGUCUGGUUUGGAGUCGGGUUGUUUGGGAACGCAGCCCAAAGCAGGUGGUAAACUUCAUCUAAGACUAAAUACGACUACGAAUCCGAUAGCAAACAAGUACUGUGAAGGAAAGUUGCAAAGCACUUUGAAGAGAGAGUUAAAGAGGACGUGAAACCGGUAAGGUGGAAACGGAUAGAGCCAACGUAUCUAGCUCGUAUUCAGCUGCCUGGGCAGUCCAUGGAUCGGCGUCGGACCCGCUUCUGGUCGGCGUUGGUCCGGGCGGCUGGCCGGGUAGUGCAUUUGCGAGUGGAGUGCGCUGAGCGGUGCGGGGCAGCGGUCGGGUGCGCGGAAAGAGGCUCCUCCUCGGAGGAGAACCCUCCCGCGUGGAAGACUGUUUGCUUUGCAUUUUGGUGGGUGACGGCCCACGAGCUGCUCGGCUCUCACGGCUUCGGCUCGCGGCGGUCGCAUGCGACACGUGCUUGCCAGGGUUGUGCUUGUCGGGGAGCUCCCGUCGCCCGGCUCGGUGUCAGAGUUGGUCAUCUCUCCGACCCGUCUUGAAACACGG
rnacentral:rRNA from 1 species